UUGGCAUUCUUCCAGGGAUAGCUUGCAACAAGUUCCCACCUUGGGUUAUUUUGCUUGUUGGUGUUUGCCUUUCUUUCUUUGGCUAUGGCGUUCUUUGGCUUGCUGUUAGCCAGACUGUCCUCUCCUUGCCUUACUGGGUUGUAUGUUCUUGAUUUCUCUAUUGCCUUUCUUUCUUUGGCUAUGGAGUUCUUUGGCUUGCUGUUAGCCAGACUCUGCUAUCUUUGCCUUAUUGGGUUGUGAGUUCUUCAUUUCUUUUUCUUUUUCUACUUCAAUUAUCUUAUUGUUACAGACGUCUUUAGAGGCGUCCUCAUAUUAUAUAUCAAUUCUAUCUAUAUUUGUUCUAAUUUGUUGGAUGGUGUGGGGUGGGAUGGGAGAAAGAUUGCGCUAUAAUUGAUUUCAUGUUUAGUCUCCUGAAGCUGUAGACUUGUUUAGUCUGAUACAGAAAUCAUGAGUGAAUGCUGAUGCUGGGGGUAAUAGGAUAAAUUUUGGUGCUCUUCCUUAUAUCUAGUCAUAAGGUAUGGGAUUUUGAUUUUUACAUUGUAGCUUUAAACCCCCAAACCACGACUCUUUGAUUAUGAGGGGUUUUUUGACCUUAGUAAAUGCAUAUGACUUGAAUUCCUCUGUUAAUCUCUGUUGUACGAGUUCAUGUUCAGUUUGGCUUGGAACAGAAUUGGGCCUAACUCAACCCCAAAAGCUAGCUUAUGAGGUGAGGAUUGCUCAAACCAUAUAAAGAGACCAAGGACCUCAAAUUCCUCCGAUUUGGGACAACUCAACACCCCCAUCACGCCCAGAUCUCUGGAGCGUGGACAACAUAUAUGGGGGCCCAACAUCGGUAACAACAAUUGGGAUGAGCCUGGCUCUGAUACCAUGAUAAGAAUGGCAUUGGGCCUAACUCAACCCCAAAAGCUAGCUUAUGAGGUGAGGAUUGCUCAAGCCAUAUAAAGAGACCUCAAAUCCCUCCGAUGCGGGACAACUCAACACAGAUAUUUUCUUAUUCAUCAUUUGGACUGGAAUAGAUAGUUGAGGAAUAAUUGGAAGAAACACCAAGUGUCACCAACCAUUCCUAGUAGGUGUGUCAUUUCACUAUCGUUAUUACAUUUUCAGUAAUUUUUUAGUAGUCUAGAGAUUCUACUAAUGAGGAGAUUGAAAUGUGUGAACAUGAGUGCAAAUGUUCUGAACCUUCUAAAGACUCACUUCUUGAUAUGACUUCCAUUGACAUAAUAUCCGUGUGAGACAUUUUACUUUGUUAAGAGCUUUAUAACAAAAUUUGGGCUUGUUUGUUCUACAGAACUUGUUCACAUAGUACAGAACUUGUUUAACGUUGUUAUCUUUGUCCAUAUCUGAUCGAAUGGAAGCUUUGGCUUGCACUGGUGGUUGGUACGAACAGCAGUGCAUGGAUGGGCACAGCGGU
rnacentral:lncRNA from 1 species